rnacentral:lncRNA from 1 species
UUUUUUUGCGCGGUCCUUUCCUGCGGCGCCUUCCGUCCGUCGGCUUCUCGUCUUGCUCUCUCUGGUCCCUCCGGAGGAGGCCGCCGCGCGUCUCCCGGGGAAGCAUGGCGAUGAAAGCGGUGUGCGUGCUGAAGGGCGACGGUCCGGUGCAGGGAACCAUCCACUUCGAGCAGAAGGCAAGGCCCGGGGCGCGGGGCGCAGGCCGCGGUGACGCGGCGCACCUGUGCGGGAGCACGCCACGCCCCCGCCACGGCCUGAGCCCGCUAAGUGCUGAGUCACCGUGGCCUGGGGCAGGGGCUGGGCGCCGGGAAGCGAGGCCCGGGGCGCCGCGGGGCCUUCCGGGCGGGCGGGGGCCUCCCCGCGCCCCGGAGCGGCUGGGCCUGCCCGGGAGAGCCGGCUUGGCAUCCGUUAUCCUUCUGGGGCUGCUGCUUUUCCGGUGUCCGUGUCCCACAGGCUCAGAGCCCCGUGGCCACCGGCUGCGAUUGUUGUAAGAAUAUUUGAACCCGGUGGUGCCAGACCGGACUAAGGCCGCAGGACGCGUUUGCGGCACUUUAAAGCAAAGUCCUGGGCUGUUCUGUACUAGGUCAGGGUCGUGUCGCAAGGCGGAAAGAAAGAGAUGGCCUUGGACAGCCGUCCCUUGCUUUGCACUCCAGAGAGAGACCCGGCUGUGGGUUUUUUCUACCACAGCGAGUUUCUGAGCACAUUUUGGAAAAGUACAUAGAGAUAUUUUCGAAAAUACUGUGACCCUGCAAAAACACAUGCGUCACAGGGAAGAUGUGUGUGGUAAGGUUGUGUCCAGAGCCUUAGGGAGGUUACCGUUGUUGUAUUCACCUUAAUCCCGAGAGAAUAUUUGAUAAAUGAGCGUUAUGUGCUCUCUGAAGUGGUGGACAUACGUGUGAGAAGGCAGACACCAUAGUGAAUCCCAAGUGUUUGGUUUACGACGAGAACUGAUAACGGCAAUUUAGAGUUUUUCGUAACUAGCCUCGUUUCCAGCAGUUUCUUGGCAUUGAAAUGCGUUUUGUUGUUUUCCUGUGGAAGUUUUUUGUUUUUGUCUUUUUCUCCUCCCCACGUAAUUCACUGUGAGAAAGACGAAGUUCGGCUGGGUCUUACCCCUGUGUGUGGGUUUCUGUCAUCUUCCACCAUGCCAUGCCAGAGCAGCUCGCACUAUUUUUGUGACGCUGCAAACUACACAUCGCUGGUGCCCUUUGUACCCAAUGAAACGAUAGUUAAGCAUUCCAGAUUGGCAGUUGUAAUCAAAGCUGGUUGAUUUAACCUGUUGCCAACUUUUCAGAAUCAGAUUUUUCUACCCAAAGUUCAUAUUCCCUUAUUCUGUUGCAAAAGUUGGACAUUUAAAAAAAAAAAAACCUAAAAAAUGAUUGUCCUUGCUUGUUGGUCGGUUGCUCUUACAUUUUCUCCCUAUUGCUACACUUUCUGGAGCAGUACUAAUUUGAAUUUUGGGUGUUCUUUUCUUUUUUGUUAAGUGGCAAAUUUUCUAGAUUUGGAUAGCUAAUGAGAUUUUUUUUUUAAGGUAGCUCUGGUUAGACCCAAAUGGAUCUCCACAGGCAGUAGGACAAAGGCAUUUUCUGACCACUAAAUAAAAAUAGGGGAACUGAUAAAAUCACUGAAUGUGGAGAACAGGGUUCUCGGCAGCCAGUGUUCUGUAAGAGUCAAGUCUGACAGUGCAGUAGCCAUCUCUUCCCCAGGCCUGGCAUUCAGUAGCCCCUGUUUGUUCCACCUGGUGCUUUCUAAAUGCUGUUCAGUCCAGGUGCCUGCACACAUGGCAUCUGGCAGCAAGUGUUAGGAGAAGUGUGACAGGGAGAGAGAGGCCUAGAGCUGAGCGUCUCCAGAGCCACCCUGUAGGAAGUGGGUCUACUUGGAUCUGAACAUAGGUUUGAUUUUCACUGUUGUGUGUUUUGACUUGAGCUUUUUACUGUGCUUGGUUAGGGUGUAACCCAGCAACAGCCCUGGUGCAGGAGUAUUUACACUCAAACUUGAUGUCUUCAUUUUUGUAUUUUUUUAAAUCAAGGCAAGCGGUGAACCAGUUGUGUUGUCAGGACAAAUUACAGGAUUAACUGAAGGCCAGCAUGGGUUCCACGUCCAUCAGUAUGGGGACAAUACACAAGGUAGGUCCUAGGCUGGCUAGUGACCAGUGAUGGAAAGGAACUGAGUCAGGACCCAAUUACUAACCAUUUAAAACUAUCUCGUUUGUUUUCUUUUUCUUUUAGAUAAAGUUAAAAUGACCACUUAGGUCAACCUUGGAAAGUAGCCACAAAAGUAUUUUAUUUAGUAUCAAGUAUUGCUUGCUUCCUUAAGUGUGGGAAGGUAAAGAAGGUGAUUUUUCUUCAUUGUAAUUAUAAUUAAGCAGCACCUUGCUUAUUCUGGGUGUUUAUUGGGUGCUUAUUUGGGUGUUUGGAGCUGGGCGUUGAGGAUGGAUGCAUUAGGCAGAGUGUCUAAGGACAACCAUGCCUUAGCAUGAGAGGCAUAGCGGGACAGAAGUGACAAAAACUGAAGAUUCAAUAUAAAUGCUUAAGUAAGAUUUAUUUUCUCUAUUUGGGAUUAGAAUCAAGUCAGUAAAAAGUAGUGGCUUAAAUUGCAGUUAGUGAACUUUUACCAUAUUGGAGUAAUGAUCUGAAUUUGCUUACCGUCAUUUAAGAGCCUCAUCCAUGUUGCGAGAGCCUUUUCCUUUCCUCUCCUUCUCCCCUGCCUUCUUCCCUUCUCCACAUAGCCCACGGUGGCCUGGAAUUUAGUCUUGUGUGUGCUGUGUUAAAGGCAUGUACCAUCAACCUGUGUGCUAUGUGCCAUAAUUUGUUCUACAGUUACUUAGGAUUGGGUUUGACCCAUUUGAUAAUUACUAAAGUUACCCCGAGUUGCCUCUGGCCUGGUAGCUUUGAUUUGUUAAGCUCCUUCCAGAAUCCUGCCCAGUUCCUAUUUUCUUGGUCUGAGUAAACACUGGAAGUCCUGCAUAUAAAAGGACUUGCUGCAUUGUUGAGCUGUGCCUUGUGACUGGCAUCCCUUAGCCCACAUGAGUAGUGUGGUACACCUCCUGGAGUUGAGGACACCAGCCCUGGCCCUUGGGAACAAGCCAUCUAACAGUCUGCCUGCCCCAAGUAAAAGCUAGACAGGUGAGCUGUUUGGUGGCACAUGGUCUAGAAAGAUAAGUAUUUUUAUCAUGAAGUAUGCUCCCUUCUUAAAAGCCAAGGUCUUUAAAUGUGGGACUUUAACUUUAGAAGUGCCAUUAAAGAUCACAUCUGUUCCAGUUACAAGGAAGGAACAAGAGCCAGGCAUGCUGUCCUGACACUGCCAUGGCCCUAAGGCUAAGGUGGGAGGGUCAUAGGUCGCAGAUAUCCUGAGCUGUAGUAGUGAGACACUGUCUCAAAACUCAAAAGC